ensembl:lncRNA
CUUGUAGGUAUGGGAGGAAUUUUGUUUCUUUGUUCUUUCAUAUUUUGAAUGCAAACUUAAGUAAUACCUGAAACCAGUUCUCUUUCACUUUGUGUUGAGCUGUAAAUCUUUCUCUUCAAUACUGUCCAAUGUUUGCUGCACUGAAUUCACACUGAACCUUUUUACAAGCCUGAUGAAUGAACAGGUCUGACCAAUGCUGAACAAGAAACUAUGUGUGCAACAUUCCCUGUCAGGUCUCUCUCACAUAGUUUCUCUAAAGCUUAACCUGUGUUAACUAGAUUUUCUAUUUGUCUCUAUUUUGCAUUGGAUUCAAUCUAUAGGGCUAAAUACUUUUUUAUUUAUUUUUUUUAGCUUGGAACAAUUUAUAAAAGGGGGAUUCGUGGGAUUCUGGACUGGAUCCCCAAAUGAGUUGCAGAAAAUCAGGAAUCCGAAAGUCCACAAAUCAAUAACUAUCUCAUUUGUCAGUCACAGCCAGCUCAUAUUUAGCUAACACUUGUUUAGACUAAUCAUACAUACAUAUCUAUAUAACCAGUGCUUCGAGCAACCUGGAUUUGUUUCCACACAGUAUGAAGACUGACGAAGGCCUAUAACCUGAGGAGGAAAUGCUAUAUCACAUUAUUUUAUGAGGCGUGCUCUGGCUCAUCUGUCAGUCUGUGUUUCUUUCUGCUUUCACUCUUUUGUAGGUCUGACCUGAUAUUUUUAGGAUGGUGGAAACUUCUAGUGAGAUUGCUAGCACACUAUAGAUGAGAGGGAAAAGGACCUGUACUCACCUGCGUGUACAUUUACACAUCUGAAAAAUAAAAAGAGUUAAGUGAAAAGGGGGAAAUUAUAUACAAUUAUUUUUACAUAAAUUAGAUUUUUUUCCCCCCCAAGAAGUAAAUUUUCCUCUUUUUUUCCACAGCUAGUCCGAACCUACUGAUUUGCUUGGGUUACCCCCAGGUUAAGAACCAUUGGAGAAGUGUAUACUUUUAUGACGAAGAGGAAUGGUAAAUUGAGAAAAGCAGCGGGUCGAGCACUGAACCCUGAAGCACCUCAGAGUGGUUACGUGAUAUGACUUAGACACCCUUCCUAGUACUUGCCCAUGAGGAAAAACACAAGUGCAGUUAAGAGUUUUAGAGAGAAUGAACAUGGAAAGUUUCUUCUGUCUUUAUGUUUUAAACUUUGAUAUAAUAUUUCCACUUUAUCUAAACCAAAUUAAAGUAGUUAAGAAAUCCUACUCUGUAAAUGAGUGUAAAGAAAAUAAUACUGUUGUUACUUCCUUCCCCAUUGUUAAUUUUAUUUUAAGCAUUUUAAUUCAAAAUAGGGUAUAAAAAACAUACAAGGAGAGCUCCUAUUCAAAAGUGCAAACAAAUUGGAAAUACUGAAUCAAAACAUAAAAUGCCUAGCACAGACAGAUGCGAGUUAGUCACACUGACAAUUGUGGUAAAUAUACACUGGCCUAUUUUGGGCAGUCAUUGUGAGCCCAGUAAGUACUUUGAAAAGUAGUUACAACCCUCCCCUUCUAAACAUUUAUUAUCAUUCUAGUUUUGUUGUUUUGUUAAAACUCAUGAGGAUGUUAGAUAUCUAAUUGUAUCUAUCAUGACACCCUGCUGAUUCAUUUCACAUCCAUUAACAUGUCUACAAAUCAAAUUAUAUGCCAGAUGUGAAAAUGUAUUUCUGUCCUAUAAAUUCUGUAUAAUAAAUCCUGUAUAAUAAUUUUGUACAGUCUUUCUACUUUUAAA